GUGAGUGAGUAUGUGUAAAAGGGGGACUGGAUUAUCUUCUAUUGUUGCUUUGCCCUGCCAUGGAAGGUGACUGAAGAGGUCCAUGACCAGUUUGUUUAAUUAUGUGUUUGUUAUGAGUCAAAAAUAUGAGUAUGUGUACCGGUUCACAGAGUCAAAUAAUAAAAUGGUGCAGUUUGGCCUGUCAUACAAGGGUUGGACCAAAAAUAAGGUUGUUGGAGAGAAAUUUUAGAAUUUAGAUAAGAAAAUUUUUUAGUUAAUGAGCGUGUGAAUCAUAACUAAGUGAAUUUGAAUGCAAUUUGAAUUUUGUGAAUUUUUUUAAU
rnacentral:lncRNA from 1 species